GAUUUCAACUGAAAAAGUCAUCAACAACAAAUUUGUAUAACUCGUCAAGAUCUAUAACUUUAAUUUUGGUCAUUUCUUCAUCCGACAAAGUUAUAGUAACAUUGUUCACAAAAUUUACGUAUCUCUCAUUUGGUUUUAUAAGCUAUAAGAGAGAGAUGUAAAUUUUGUGAAAAAUGUUACCAUCACUUUGUCAAAUGAAGAAAUAACCAAAAUAAAAGUUAUUAUGUCUUGAUGAGUUCUACAACUUUUAUGUUCAUAACUUUUUCAGCUAAAUUU
rnacentral:pre_miRNA from 1 species